rnacentral:rRNA from 1 species
GACGAACGCUGGCGGCGUGCCUAAUACAUGCCAGUAGAACGCUGAAGCGAGGAGCUUGCUCUUCUUGGAUGAGUUGCGAACGGGUGAGUAACGCGUAGGUAACCUGCCUUGUAGCGGGGGAUAACUAUUGGAAACGAUAGCUAAUACCGCAUAACAAUGGAUGACACAUGUCAUUUAUUUGAAAGGGGCAAUUGUUCCACUACAAGAUGGACCUGCGUUGUAUUAGCUAGUAGGUGAGGUAAUGGCUCACCUAGGCGACGAUACAUAGCCGACCUGAGAGGGUGAUCGGCCACACUGGGACUGAGACACGGCCCAGACUCCUACGGGAGGCAGCAGUAGGGAAUCUUCGGCAAUGGGGGCAACCCUGACCGAGCAACGCCGCGUGAGUGAAGAAGGUUUUCGGAUCGUAAAGCUCUGUUGUAAGUCAAGAACGGGUGUGAGAGUGGAAAGUUCACACUGUGACGGUAGCUUACCAGAAAGGGACGGCUAACUACGUG